rnacentral:rRNA from 1 species
AACGAACGCUGGCGGCAGGCCUAACACAUGCAAGUCGAGCGAAGCCUUCGGGCUUAGCGGCGGACGGGUGAGUAACGCGUGGGAACGUGCCCUUUGCUACGGAAUAGCCCCGGGAAACUGGGAGUAAUACCGUAUGUGCCCUUCGGGGGAAAGAUUUAUCGGCAAAGGAUCGGCCCGCGUUGGAUUAGGUAGUUGGUGAGGUAACGGCUCACCAAGCCGACGAUCCAUAGCUGGUUUGAGAGGAUGAUCAGCCACACUGGGACUGAGACACGGCCCAGACUCCUACGGGAGGCAGCAGUGGGGAAUCUUGGACAAUGGGGGAAACCCUGAUCCAGCCAUGCCGCGUGAUCGAUGAAGGCCUUAGGGUUGUAAAGAUCUUUCAGCUGGGAAGAUAAUGACUGUACCAGCAGAAGAAGCCCCGGCUAACUCCGUGCCAGCAGCCGCCGUAAGAC